rnacentral:rRNA from 1 species
AUUGAACGCUGGCGGCAUGCCUUACACAUGCAAGUCGAACGGUAACGGGCCUUCGGGUGCCGACGCGUGGCGAACGGGUGAGUAAUACAUCGGAACGUGCCCGAUCGUGGGGGAUAACGAGGCGACAGCUUUGCUAAUAUCGCAUACGAUCUAAGGAUGAAAGCAGGGGACCGCAUGGCAUUGCGCGGACGGAGCGGCAUAUGGCCGAUUCGGUAGUUGGUGGGAUAAAGGCUUACCAAGACGACGAUCUGUAGCUGGUCUGAGAGGAUGGUCAGCCACACUGGAACGGAGACACGGCCCUGACUCCUACGGGAGGCAGCAGUGGGGAAUUUUGGACAAUGGGCGCGAGCCUUAUCCAGCCAUGCCGCGUGCAGUGUGAAGGCCUUCGGGUUGGAAACUGCUUUUGUACGGAACGAAAAGCCUUCUUUUAAUACAGGAGGGUCAUGACGGUACCGUAAGAAUAAGCACCGGCUAACUACGUG